rnacentral:lncRNA from 1 species
CUAAAUAUACCACCGUCGAACUCUAUAGUGUACACACAACACACGUUCUGGAGGGCACGCCAAGAAGGAUCUUGAGACCAGCAAACACCUCCUGCAAGCUCACAGCAAAUGCGUACUGCAUAUCUAAGCCUUGGCGUCUCCUUUAGGUAGGCCAAGAAGAGAUGGCCGGUAGAGGGACUGACGCUGUGCCAUCUCAAUUCUUUCCCGUGGAUCAUACAUUGAUUCAUCUCGUAUUGCCUGAAGAAUAGAAUCGGUCCCAAGCUCCCUGCAGGUGAAAAACGAAAUUAUUAGGCGCCUGACCUGACAGUAGAAUUGUACCCCAAAAAAACGCAUUUAGUCCAAGAGGUUUCCAAGAUUCCAACCUCUUGAUUAAAAUUUUGUAAAGUGUUUUGAGUAUUGGACACAGCUCAACAGGAGCAACAGGCUUCUUGGUUUCUGGAUGCAUCACACAUAGGCUUCCCUGGCUCAGGAGCUCAUAGAAUGCAUUGACUGCGG